ACACACACAGUGCUCUGUGAGGAAGCAGUCGCUGAAGAGCUCUGGAUAGACCAUGCAAGGUUCUGCAGGUGUCCCACCCUUCUCUCAUCACAUGGAUGCUUUAGAAGUGUGCGUGACGUCAGAAAGAACCAAUUGGAGAGGAUGAAAGAAGACACAUGACGAAGAUCCCAGGUUGGACUCCAAAUGGCUGAAGGCUGGCGAGUGGUGACCUAAGUGAGAGGCCUGGGUGACAUUUGACCUCUGACUGGGUGUGCGGCUGACCCUGGAGGAUACAGCUCAACAAUGGGAGGCACGUGCCUUGGCCUUGUCACCAUGGUAACACAGGACCUUUUUGGAAAGGUUGGGG